rnacentral:rRNA from 1 species
AUUGAACGCUGGCGGCAGGCCUAACACAUGCAAGUCGAGCGGAGCGGCGGACGGGCGAGUAAUGCCUAGGAAUCUGCCUGGUAGCGGGGGAUAAGGUAAGGGAACGGACGCUAAUACCGUAUACUAGCAGAUGAGUGAGGGUCGGAGUAGGCAGUUGGUGGGGUAAGGGCCUACCUAGUCGACGAUCCGUAACUGGUCUGAGAGGAUGAUCAGUCACACUGGAACUGAGACACGGUCCAGACUCCUACUGGAGGCAGCAGUGGGGAAUAUUGGACAAUGGGCGAAAGCCUGAUUCAGCCAUGCCGCGUGUGUGAAGAAGGUCUUCGGAUUGUAAAGCACUUUAAGUUGGGAGGCGUUACCAACAGAAUAAGCACCGGCUAACUCCGUGCCAGCAGCCGCGGUAAUAC